AUACGGAGGGUGCAAGCGUUAUUCGGAAUCACUGGGCGUAAAGGACGCGUAGGCGGGUUGGCAAGUCAGAUGUGAAAUCCUACAGCUUAACUGUAGAACUGCAUUUGAAACUGCUAACCUAGAGUAUGGGAGGGGGAGAUGGAAUUAGUGGUGUAGGGGUAAAAUCCGUAGAUAUCACUAGGAAUACCGAAAGCGAAGACGAUCUCCUGGAACAUAACUGACGCUAAGGCGUGAAAGCGUGGGGAGCGAACAGGAUUAGAUACCCUAGUAGUCC
rnacentral:rRNA from 1 species